UACGUAGGGACCGAGCGUUGUCCGGAAUCAUUGGGCGUAAAGAGCGUGCAGGCGGCCACUUAAGUCCUGCGUGAAAUCUUGCGGCUCAACCGCAAGCGGUCGUGGGAAACUGGGUGGCUAGAGUGCGGGAGAGGAGAGUGGAAUUCCUGGUGUAGCGGUGGAAUGCGCAGAUAUCAGGAGGAACACCGGUGGCGAAGGCGGGUCUCUGGGCCGUAACUGACGCUGAGGAGCGAAAGCGUGGGGAGCGAACAGG
rnacentral:rRNA from 1 species